UACGUAGGGGGCAAGCGUUGUCCGGAAUCAUUGGGCGUAAAGAGCGUGUAGGCGGUUCGGUAAGUCGGCUGUGAAAGUCCAGGGCUCAACCCUGGGAUGCCGGUCGAUACUGCCGGACUAGAGUUCGGAAGAGGCGAGUGGAAUUCCCGGUGUAGCGGCGAAAUGCGCAGAUAUCGGAGGAAGACCUACGUGGCGAAGGCGCUCGCUGGGCUUACUGACGCUGGAGGAGCGAAAGCGUGGGGAGCGAACAGG
rnacentral:rRNA from 1 species